UCAUCUUUAGUAAAUAUUUAUUAUGUUAUCUUGAUAAGGUAGAGUUUUUUAGGUGAA
rnacentral:tRNA from 1 species